UCUAUUGUUGUUGUUAAUAGGUAGUUACCUACCUAACCAAAGAGGAAUAUAUUAAUCAACUUUUGAUAGUGUAGGUAUAUGAACUACCAUUUAUAACAUCAAUCAAAUAACAAUUUAAAAAGAUGAGUGCUUGCAAUGUUGAAGCAAUAAAAUUGGUAGGGAAAUAUUUAAAUUCAUCUGUUGGAUCUGUUUGCUACAACACUGACAAGGUUAAUUUUUUGUCUUUUUUUUUUGCUCAGAACUUUCCACUUCCUUGCUUUUUAAAAAUUACAAUAACAAUUGCAUUAACAGCAGUGCUAGAUAAGCAAAAUGUGGAAGGAUUUGCUACUAUUGUCCUAUGGUUGGCUUCAAAGAGUGGGGUUCAAAUGAGCCAAGAGCAAUUACUAAAUUCUUAUCAAUGGCUUGAACAUAUCUCUAUGUAUUCAAAUCAGGCUGCAACAAACCCUACAUUUGCCAAAAGUUUCCUACAAGAUAUUAACAAGGCCUUAGAAAAAAACACAUAUUUGACUGGGCAAUUUCUCAAUGUUACAGAUGUAGCAGCAUAUUAUGUGUUAUAUCCAUUAAUAGAGCGUCUGUCUGUAACUGAGCGAGAGUCCCUACUUCAUGUCUGCAGAUGGUCAAAGCACAUCCAAUCACAGCCGCAGGUGUGCACCAGCAAACCACCACUUCAUCUAAAUACUCUUACAUUAUCUGUAUUGGCUCCUGCAGUGCAUUAAUUCCAUUUUACAUGUUAGUAAUUUAUUUCAUAACAUUAAACCAUAAAUCACAGUAGUUUUCUGUUUUGAUUGGUCUGGGCAGUGCCAUGAAAUUAUGCCAUAGUCAUAAAUAAGUGUGUUUGAUAAAGCAUGCAGUGCAGCAUUACAAUUCUUAUUCUUAUUGUAAUCAAUAUUCAAGUAGAAUUGGUGAAUGCGCAUAGAAAUAAUGUGAAUAUUCCAAUCAAAUUUUUAUCUUGCAACAACUAAAUAUGUUUUCUGAAACUUUCUUUUACUAAUUAUACCUACUUAUUUAUAGUGAAACAAUGCUCAAUUAAAUCUCAAAAGAUAUGUCUUAAUCAAAAAUCUAUAAAAAAUAAUGUAAUCAGUGCCACAGAACAUAAAAAGUUGGAGCCUGGCAGUGUUAAGCCUUUGCCGAAACAGAUGUUGCCACACGAACUCCGUGAAGCAAAUUUAGACAAACCUGUCAUAUAUCAUCCACAACCAUUUUCUUAUCCUGGAUAUCCAAUUAUUGUUUAUUUAUGAAGGAAGGUACUUAGGCUUUUUAUUUAAACAUUUUCUUUUUAGAUCUUAUGAAUUUAAAUCUAAGUAUGUUUUUUACGUGUAACUAUGAGCCCGGCUUCUUAUGAUUGCUGAGUAGGUUACCAAAUAAGCUUAUUGAUUAUGCAUUGAAAUUAAUAAAUGUUUCAUCCAA